rnacentral:rRNA from 1 species
AUUGAACGCUGGCGGCAGGCCUAACACAUGCAAGUCGAGCGGAGCGGGGGACGGGUGGGUAAUGCCUAGGUAUCUGCCUGGUAGUGGGGGAUAACGUCCGGAAACGGGCGCUAAUACCGCAUACUAUCAGAUGAGCCUAGGUGGGAUUGGCUAGUUGGUGGGGUAAAGGCUUACCAAGGUGACGAUCCGUAACUGGCCUGAGAGGAUGAUCAGUCACACUGGGACUGAGACACGGUCCAGACUCCUACGGGAGGCAGCAGUGGGGAAUAUUGGACAAUGGGCGAAAGCCUGAUCCAGCCAUGCCGCGUGUGUGAAGAAGGUCUUCGGAUUGUAAAGCACUUUAAGUUGGGAGGCGUUACCAACAGAAUAAGCACCGGCUAACUUCGUGCCAGCAGCCGCGGUAAUAC